rnacentral:misc_RNA from 1 species
GAUAAGAACGUAGUGAAAUGCGAUAAGUAAUGUGAAUUGCAGAAUUCAGUGAAUCAUCGAAUCUUUGAACGCACAUUGCGCCCGCCAGUAUUCUGGCGGGCAUGCCUGUCCGAGCGUCAUUUCAACCCUCGAACCCCUCCCGGGGGUCGGCGUUGGGGACCUCGGGAGCCCCUAAGACGGGAUCCCGGCCCCGAAAUACAGUGGCGGUCUCGCCGCAGCCUCUCCUGCGCAGUAGUUUGCACAACUCGCACCGGGAGCGCGGCGCGUCCACGUCCGUAAAACACCCAACUUCUGAAAUGUUGACCUCGGAUCAGGUAGGAAUACCCGCUGAACUUAAGCAUAUCAAUAAGCGGAGGA